AUGUCUUGUUUUGUAAAUUGAAAAUAUAUUGUAUUUAGUUUUAUGACCAAUUUUUGUAUUUUUAUAUGUUAUGAUGGAGUUAGAUUGCCAUGUGUAAUAUGUAAUAACAAUUAACAGCCAUGGAGUAAAACAGCCCAGAAAUCCAUGGUCAGAUGGACCAGAAUACGUCACACAGUGCGCUAUUCAACCAGGAACAAACUUCACAUACAAAGUCAUAUUCUCUGACGAGGAAGGAACCCUUUGGUGGCAUGCCCACAGCGACUGGACUCAGAGCAGUGUCCAUGGUGCCAUUAUCAUCAUGCCUGCACAAGGCACCACUUACCCAUUUCCCCAACCAGACGCAGAAAAAGUUAUAGUACUCGGAACUUGGUAUACUUUUGAUGUGAACAAACAGCUCCAUUAUGAUCUCUUUGUGGGUGCAGACUUACCGCGGCCAAGUUCUUUUGUUAUCAAUGGCCAACCAGAAGGAAUCUUUAGUUGUUCUAGCGGUAUUUUCUUUAGUGUUUCUGUGGGAGUUUCACUAGAAUAAAUACUGCAUUGACAAAACUAGAAGAGUCUAAUCACGAUUAACCAUUGAUUCCGUUACAAAAUAAUGGUCUGUGCUGUGGAGUCUGAUCUGAAAGAUUGACCUAUUGAUAGUAAGCAAUAGUAGUCUUGAAAGCAAGGUUUUAAAAAGCAGCUGCAACCAUUACGUAACGUGGUUACUGCCACCUAUUACGGCCGCUAUAGCAGUGUGACGAAAAUUCACAUGCGUAACAGUCAUUUCAGUGUUACGUAACGGCUGUAGCGGUACCGUAAUGGCCCAUUAGACACCGUUUCAAAAUGUGGCAUUACGUAACGGUUGAGGCGGUAUGCACCAUGCGUUACCUCCGUUUUUGCAUUGUGAUUGAGAUUCACAUGUGUGUCGGCCAUAGCGGCUGCCGUAGCGGUCAUAACGGUGCUAUAACGGCCUGUUACACACCAUUACGUAAUGGUUCCGAACUGUUUCUUUCGAAGAAAAAAAAAA